rnacentral:rRNA from 1 species
GGAUGCGAUCAUACCAGCACUAAAGCACCGGAUCCCAUCAGAACUCCGAAGUUAAGCGUGCUUGGGCGAGAGUAGUACUAGGAUGGGUGACCUUCUGGGAAGUCCUUGUGUUGCAUUCC